GACGAACGCUGGCGGCGUGCUUAACACAUGCAAGUCGUACGGAAAGGCCCUGCUUUUGUGGGGUGCUCGAGUGGCAAACGGGUGAGUAACACGUGAGUAACCUGCCCUUGACUUUGGGAUAACUUCAGGAAACUGGGGCUAAUACCGGAUAGGAGCUCCUGCUGCAUGGUGGGGGUUGGAAAGUUUCGGCGGUUGGGGAUGGACUCGCGGCUUAUCAGCUUGUUGGUGGGGUAGUGGCUUACCAAGGCUUUGACGGGUAGCCGGCCUGAGAGGGUGACCGGCCACAUUGGGACUGCGAUACGGCCCAGACUCCUACGGGAGGCAGCAGUGGGAAAUAUUGCACAAUGGGCGGAAGCCUGAUGCAGCAACGCCGCGUGCGGGAUGACGGCCUUCGGGUUGUAAACCGCUUUCGCCUGUGACGAAGCGUGAGUGACGGUAAUGGGUAAAGAAGCACCGGCUAACUACGUG
rnacentral:rRNA from 1 species